rnacentral:rRNA from 1 species
GUGCCAGCCGCCGCGGUAAUACGUAAGUGGCGAGCGUUAUCCGGAAUUACUGGGCGUAAAGCGUGCGUAGGCGGUUUAGUGUGUGGGAUUUGAAAGCCCGGGGCUCAACUCCGGAUCCGGAUCCCAAACUGCUAGACUCGAGAGUAUCAGAGGAGAGCGGAAUUCCCGGUGUAGCGGUAAUAUGCGUAGAUAUCGGGAGGAACACCAGUGGCGAAGGCGGCUCUCUGGGGUAUUUCUGACGCUGAGGCACGAAAGCCAGGGGAGCGAACGGGAUUAGAAACCCUCGUAGUCC